CAGUAGCCGCGGUAAUACGGAGGGGGCUAGCGUUGUUCGGAAUUACUGGGCGUAAAGCGUACGUAGGCGGCACGAUUAGUCAGGCGUGAAAUUCCUGGGCUCAACCUGGGGACUGCGCUUGAUACGGUCGAGCUAGAGGAUGGAAGAGGGUCGUGGAAUUCCCAGUGUAGAGGUGAAAUUCGUAGAUAUUGGGAAGAACACCGGUGGCGAAGGCGGCGACCUGGUCCAUUACUGACGCUGAGGCGCGACAGCGUGGGGAGCAAACAGGAUUAGAUACCCCCGUAGUCCCUGUCUCUUAUAC
rnacentral:rRNA from 1 species